CGUCGAUAGGCGGCUUACUUUCUCGGGAGUAAAAUGCAGUCAACUCACUACAUAAAGACCACUCGCAGCGCGACUAAGGUAAGCAAAAAUUAUCUUCCUUCGCUGCGCCUGCGGAGGAUGUGACGGAGGACCGUCACAUUAUACUUUUAUGAUACAGAACUGGUAGUAUUUUCAUUUUUUUGGAGUGAGAUUUAACUACAAAGAAAUUUAGAGGCCCCUCUAUAAGAAAUAUUAGAUGUUAAGGAGAGGGUUGGAUAAAUUAUUUAAUCUGUUUCUACUCCUGAAUUAAUAAAUCUCCCCAGGAAAUUGCUUACAUCAAUUCUCAAAUAAAAUUAUAACUGUGAUGAAAGAAGAAAUGAAAAGAUUCGACAAAUCUGUCGCCAAUCUGUCAUCAUUUAUGAAUACAGAUCUGUUGCAUAUUUGGCGCAAAUCUGCUGUGAGUUUACGUUGCAACAUCUGUUCUCAAUUUGCUGCGUGAAUUUGUCAUUGUAUUGCUAGUGACAGAUCUGCUCUGGUGUUGCACCCAAUUUGAUGUCAAGAUUUGAUAACAAUUUUUGCUUGCAAUUGGGGCGCACUCGAGGACACAGUAGGCCAUGGUUUUGGCAGCCUGAUUCCAAAGCAAGAAAUUUUUAGCAGUUUGCUGACAAUUUGGCAGCAAAUGGUUAGCUGGGAGGUAAGUUAUAUAUUGUUUUUUUUCAAUGCAACUCUAGUUUCAUAGUUUUUUGAAGCUUUGCAGAUGUUAAAAAUUUCUAGUGUUUUAAUUAAAUUUUUAUAAUCAAAGAUGACAGAAAUUUAUUAUUUAAGACCAAACAUAACAAAGAUGACAGAAAUUUAUUAUUUAAGACCAAAAAGGAUUAAAUUAAUAGAUUUUUCUAAAGGGCUUUAUUCGUAUUUUUAUAUCUCAAGAACGAGAUCAUUUUCCAAUGGUAAUAUAUGUCCAAUUCAGUCAAUAGAAAGAUAAAAUUACUUUUAUAAUUUUAACAUAUUGCAUUAAAUAUUAAGUAAUUAAAUACGAUUAUCUACUUCUAUAUAGUUAGUUUUAUAAAUAUUAAAACUAAUAAUAAGUAAUACAAUAUAAUUAAUAAGUAAUAAAUAUUUAUUAAUAUAAGUUUUGUUGAAAAGGCCUCAUAUUAGAAAAGGUGCGGUUUCUUCAUUAUUUCCAUGGACGAAAUUUACAGACAAUACAAUGACAAACAAUAUUGUAAGUACAUCAUUACAAAAAAAUAGGAAAACAGUACAUCAAGUACAUUAUUAAAGAAAAAUAAUAUGGAAAAGAAAGAAAGCUCAGACUCUUUAACACUCGAUAGCUUGAAAUGUAACGAUAAGCUUUAUCUUUCCGUUGGCUGGACUAGACAUAUAUUACCAGUAGAAAAUACUCUUGUUAUAAUACUUAAUAAAAUAAUAUGUAAAUAUAUUGAAAACAAAAGUCAACUAAUUUUCGUAAAAGAAAUAUGGAUAACUGAAAAUAUGAAGAUACAAAUAAAACUUUAGGUGUUGAUUUAAACAUCUUCGGAAUAAAUAAUGAGUUUCUGUUAUCUCUAAAUAUAUUGGAAGAUUUAAUUAAAAUAUUUGAGACUUUCAACAUCUGCGAAAGUUACAAAAAAAACUAUGAAACUGUGCACUAGUGCUGCAUUGAAAGAAAACAAUAAUAUAUUGAGACAUACAAAAUGCCCUAUUAUAUUAAAAAAUGUAGCUCAAUGUAACUUUUGUAGAAAUUUAAGUUAUACUUUUGAUAGAAAAAGAAAACGUUCAAAUAACAGUGAAAGUGAAGUAAAACGAAUUAGAGCAGUUAAUUUGUCUCCAACAAAGAAGAUAAUAAUUGGUGAUAUUAAAAAGCAAAAGGAUAAUCUCAGGAAGUAUAAAAAUCGCAAAGUAUGUACUAUUGAAAAAAAUGCAAAUAAAGAUAAAAUAGAUACAAGAAAAUUUAAAUAAAAAGAAUAAAGAAUUGUUAGAAAAUACAAUGGCGGAAAGAAAUGUUCCGAUCUAUCAACAAAAAGCUAUAAAAAAAAUAUUAUUUUCAUUGAAAAAGAAUGCUAAAGGCAGACGUUAUUCUGAUAAGUGGAAUUUACUAUGUUUAUUUUUUCAUAUGAAAUCUCCAAAAAGAUAUAACUUUAUUUUAAAUGAAAAAAUAUUGCCAUUGCCUUCAUCAAGUACUAUACGUAAGUACGACUUUUAAUAAUUAAUCUUUACAGUGAUAUUUAUUGGUCUUAACAAGAAAAUGGACACAAUUAUAAAUACAAAUUAUGUACAAAUAUGUAUUCUUCUUUAAAUGUUUGCUUCUAUUACAGAUAUUUGUCUUGUAUAAAAUUUUACUGUGGAUUUGAUUCAAGUUCUUUCGAAAUGUUUAAAGCUAAAAUAAUGGAGAGAAAUGAAAACGAGACAUGGUAUAUUAUUGAUAGAUGAAAUGGCCACACGUGAAAGUGUACAAGUCAAAUCAAAAAGUUUAACUUUUACUGGUCUCGUCAAUUUAAUAAUUUAAAUAAGGAAGUAAUGAUUUAAAGGCUGAAAGUAUUAAUGAUAAAGCAAAUUAUAGACUUGUAUUUAUGUAUCAGCCACUAGAUGCGUUAUAUGCGGCACCUGUAGGUGUAUUUACGUCAAAUGGGCCAACUAAAGGAACAGUAUUAGCAGAACUUAUAAUUAAAACUAUAGUUUAUAAGAAAAUGCUGGAGCUAAAAUUCAUGGUAUUGUUACUGAUGGUGCAGCUACAAAUAAGAAAUUUUGGGACGUAAUGGACAUCUUAGGAAAAAAGAAUAAAUUGAAAAGUUGGUUUACACAUGUAACUGACUCAUCGAGAAAAAUUUUCGUAUUCUCUGAUACACCAUUUUGAAAGAACGAUUAGAAUACGAUUAUAUGACAACGAUCUAGAAAUGAACCUGAAGGGGAAACCAGAAGGACCUUUGAUUUUUUGAAAAUAUUUUUAAAAAUUAUAUAAUAUAGAUCAUAAUAUGCCUAUUUGUCCUAAGAUAACAAAACAGCAUUUAGAAUUUCAAAAUUCAUCAAAAAUGCGAGUUUGUUUGGCUGUGCAAAUUCUCAGUAAUUCUGUUACAAAAGGACUACGCUUUUACGGUUCAUAUUAUACUAAAUUAAAAGGUAAUACUGCCACUGCAGAGUCUUGUGAGUGGAUAAAUUCCCUGUUUGAUGCUUUAAAUAGAAGAGAAUAUCACAAUGGAAUAAAACCAAGAAAUACAGAUUUUUUUGGUACGUAAUAUUUUUUAUAUAUAUUUCUUUUGUAGAUUUUUCUUGAUAUUUUUUAUAUAUAUUUAUUUUGUAAAUUUUUUUAAGAAUUAAAUCUAAAAUUUUUAUAUUGACAUAAUAAAAUUAUAAAAUAUUAUUGUUUUACGAUAUUGCAGUUCCUGCAAAAUGCUCUAGAUAAAUUAGAUCAAUAGGAAAAUUUAAUAGAACAAGGACUUAUUACAAAUAAAGUUUCUUACUCGGCAGAUUGCGGAAGGACUUCGCAUAACUUUGCAAUCCAUGAUAAACAUAACGCAUUAUUUAACCGGCGAAUUUAAUUUUUUUUGUGUUUUGUCAGGGAACAUAAAUCAAGCUUCCCUUAAAGUUUGUUUUAUAUGUGAAUAUUAUUAAAUGAAUUGUAAGACAAAUGUAAUUUUUGGGACGUAUGUAUAUAAUUUAUAUUUGAUAUUUACUACCUUCCAAUGAUUACAUUGAAGCAAGUAAACAGCAAAUAAUUUCCAGAUUGAAAAUAUUAUUACAUACUCACUCGAUUUUUAAAAGAUGCAUAUUGGAAAAAAUGUUUCAUUCAUGAAAGUAAAUUCGCUCUUCACAAAUUGACAAUUCUGAUACCAAAAUUCGUAAUCUAAAAAACCGCUAUAUAGUAAUUUUUAUUUUUAAAUUUGAUUGAUUUCAAACAUUUUUGACUGCCAUAUUGAAUUCAUCAUUUUGAAUUUAACAUAUUUGAUAACAGAAUCGCAAUUAGCGACCCAAAAAACCUCUAAAAGUCAAUUUGGAUGAUAAACCAAUUGAAAGAAAUAUUUACAUACGUAAUCGAUAAAAUCGAAGAUUUCAUAAAUUUUCCUUCUUCUAGCCAUCAUAUUGGAUGUCGCCAUCUUGAAUUGAAAUAUACUCACACGUAAAUUUGAAAGUUCAUGAUCCAUGGACGCAAGAUUUACAUUUCUCAGAAAUACUUCCAUCUAUUUUGUAUGUGUAAAUAUUGAUUGAAAAAAAUUUCAAUGGAAAAAUCAGUUUUUCUUGCAAAUAAAUUAACAUAAUUUGUUCAGAUCGCUUUUUUGAGAAAUUCUGACGACGGGUGUUGAAAGUUCAGGAAAUUUUACAUAAGAAAAAGUUAGUUUGAAAUUUUUUGAGGAUUAGAGUCAUAGUAUAAAAUAUCACUGAAAAAAGUCACAGAAAACUGUCCGCUUGGGACUUUAAUGAGUUAAAGUUGUAGUUCUAAUUUCAUUUUUUUAAUAUAAUGAUUACAUGAUUUAUAUAUUUAUGUGGUCUACGUUUUUUGUGAUUGACUUUUUUGCAAUGAAGACGUUCUGUGGUAACCUAAUAUUCUGGGAUAAACUUCUUGUUGAUAUAGUCUUGGUUUUUAAUUAUUGAGUGCUUUUAUUGUUAUAAUUUAGUUUCUCCAUUCGGCUAUGGAACCGGAUAUAUUGACUGUACUUGACUCUGGAUCGCAAUCAAUAUAGAUUUCUAUAUAUUUUUACAACUCGUUGCAUUAAAGAUGCUUUCAAUUAAAACCAAAACAUUUGCAUAUACUGCACUACAACUUGUUUAUUAUUUUGAUUUAUCAUUAAUAAGAAUCGUAUAUCUUUUAAGACAAUUUUUUAAACUUUUACAUUAAUGAAACAUCUUUUAUACUUUAGAUUUAAAUCUUUAGCGAUCAAUGACGUUGCUUCCAAUAGAAAAGGUUUCCGGAUACAUGCCGCAUCCUGGUAUACCGUUGCGCCGACGUUUCGCAAACGUUAUAAUUUGUAUCAUCAGGUUAGGAGCUCCGAUACUGAGCUCUCUUUGAUUGUGGCCGUUCUUAUAUACCUCUUAUCUUGAUGAUAAGGAAGGAGGGGUGAGGAAAGGGGACGGAGUGGUUCGUCCAACUCUAGUAGCACAAUUCAUUGACCCAACAUUGUUGACCUCAACUGUUGGCCAAUCUUUACUAAAUAUUGGCCAACUGUUAGCCAACCCAUAUGUUGGCUGCUCGGGAAUAUUUUAAUUGAUCAUGAAAAAGUUUCAUUCAAUUUAAUUAAAAAUUUCUUUAUAUUAUUAACCCUCCACAAACCAGGUAAAUAAAAAUCAUACUUGAACCAUGUGGGGUUAAUUUCACCCCAAAAUUCAUUUCAAUAUAGGAUUAAAAAUGCCCACACACUUUAAGUACGUGCCCAUACUAGCACGUUAUACACAAUACUGAUUAUUGCGGCACGAAGGGACGUCUCAACUCCAGCUACUCAAAAAGUCAGACCAGUUGUAUUAUAUUUUGAGAGAAAUACAAUAGUUUUAAAAUCGUUGGGGUUAAUUUAAUUUUGUCUAAUUCGUAGAGGGUUAAAAAAUAAAAUGGCGUACCAUACCUUUCUUUCAAUCACAUCGAUAAGAAAGUCUUUCAUAACAUAAUAGUUUUAAAAUAACGGUUCGUUUUAAUUUAACUUGCUGCGUAAUAAAAUCUUUAAUAAAAUAAAAAGAAUUAGCCGAUAUGAUUCAUGUAAUAUUUCACAUCGGGCCGCACGCACCGCCAUCGCUCCUGGCUCGCGAACGAACUCGUGCGCUGAUAUUUUGAAACAGCUCUUAUUUAAAAACUAUCAUUCGCAUUUAAUUUUGACAGACAAAAGUUUUGCUUCGCUUGGUACCAAGAACUUCUGAUAUACUACACAUGCAGUUAUUCUGGGACACCCUGUGUAUGUACACACAUCGGCAGAAAUGGUGUCCUUCGGCGUAAAAAUUGGAGAUCGCGCCAGUGUUACGGCCUUCACCAAUGACGCACGCUCAAGAAAGAUAGAAUUAUGAUGAGUGAGAAGACGUGAUACCAAUUCGCUAGUGUCCAAUAUCCGUUUCAUUUGCACUCAAGCGAAAGACGUCAUUAGUAUCGAGUGCGAGUGAAACAGAUAUUGGACACCGGCGAAUCGGUAUCACGCCUUCUCACUCAUCAUAACUCUAUCCUUCUUGCAUGCAGCAUUGGUGAAAGAUGCAACACCGGCGCGAUCCCCACUUUUUUGCUUCUCCCCGUCUCCACUGCACCGCGCGCUUAGUGACACGUACGGUGCUUUGUGUAUGUGUGUGUGUGUGGAUGAUCACUGCGCUGGAUCCCGAGGGACACCAUUUCUGCCGAUGCGUAUACACACGCACGCACGCACGCACGCACACACGCACGCACACACAUACACACACACACACACACACACGCACACACAGGGUGUCUGGUAAAACAUUAAGGAACGUUUAUGAGCAGGUAGAGCGCAUUAAACUGAAAAAAAAAUCCUUUACCGUUUUUCCAUUUUUGCAAUAGUUAAUGAGUUAUUGACUUGUAAAAUUUGCUGUAUUAACUAUAGGCCUACAGGCAAAUGCAAGCGCCCUGGUCAAACGCGCGGCGAGAUGCGGCCGCUCCCCGGCCUUGAGCCUUGAAGUUGCUAGGCGUGCGGGAGGAAUUGUUUACAACAAGCGACAAUGGCGACGGAUAAUGCUAGAUGCUCCCUUUGAGUUAUGAUAGUUUCUUGCUUUUUUUAAAUAAAAAU